GGGUUGUGAGGUUAAGCGACUAAGCGUACACGGUGGAUGCCCUGGCAGUCAGAGGCGAUGAAGGACGUGCUAAUCUGCGAUAAGCGUCGGUAAGGUGAUAUGAACCGUUAUAACCGGCGAUUUCCGAAUGGGGAAACCCAGUGUGUUUCGACACACUAUCAUUAACUGAAUCCAUAGGUUAAUGAGGCGAACCGGGGGAACUGAAACAUCUAAGUACCCCGAGGAAAAGAAAUCAACCGAGAUUCCCCCAGUAGCGGCGAGCGAACGGGGAGCAGCCCAGAGCCUGAAUCAGUGUGUGUGUUAGUGGAAGCGUCUGGAAAGGCGCGCGAUACAGGGUGACAGCCCCGUACACAAAAAUGCACAUACUGUGAGCUCGAUGAGUAGGGCGGGACACGUGGUAUCCUGUCUGAAUAUGGGGGGACCAUCCUCCAAGGCUAAAUACUCCUGACUGACCGAUAGUGAACCAGUACCGUGAGGGAAAGGCGAAAAGAACCCCGGCGAGGGGAGUGAAAAAGAACCUGAAACCGUGUACGUACAAGCAGUGGGAGCCUCUUUAUGGGGUGACUGCGUACCUUUUGUAUAAUGGGUCAGCGACUUAUAUUCUGUAGCAAGGUUAACCGAAUAGGGGAGCCGAAGGGAAACCGAGUCUUAACUGGGCGUUAAGUUGCAGGGUAUAGACCCGAAACCCGGUGAUCUAGCCAUGGGCAGGUUGAAGGUUGGGUAACACUAACUGGAGGACCGAACCGACUAAUGUUGAAAAAUUAGCGGAUGACUUGUGGCUGGGGGUGAAAGGCCAAUCAAACCGGGAGAUAGCUGGUUCUCCCCGAAAGCUAUUUAGGUAGCGCCUCGUGAAUUCAUCUCCGGGGGUAGAGCACUGUUUCGGCAAGGGGGUCAUCCCGACUUACCAACCCGAUGCAAACUGCGAAUACCGGAGAAUGUUAUCACGGGAGACACACGGCGGGUGCUAACGUCCGUCGUGAAGAGGGAAACAACCCAGACCGCCAGCUAAGGUCCCAAAGUCAUGGUUAAGUGGGAAACGAUGUGGGAAGGCCCAGACAGCCAGGAUGUUGGCUUAGAAGCAGCCAUCAUUUAAAGAAAGCGUAAUAGCUCACUGGUCGAGUCGGCCUGCGCGGAAGAUGUAACGGGGCUAAACCAUGCACCGAAGCUGCGGCAGCGAC
rnacentral:rRNA from 1 species